CCUACGGGUGGCAGCAGUCGAGAAUUAUUCACAAUGGGGGAAACCCUGAUCGUGCGACGCCGCGUGGGGGAAUGAAGCUCUUCGGAUUGUAAACUCCUGUCAUGUGGGAGCGAAGUAAAACGCUAGUACUGAAUGAGGAAUAGCCGGCUAACUCUGAGCCAGCAGUCGCGGUAAUACAGAGGACUCAAGCGUUGUCCGGAAUCACUGGGCGUAAAGGGUGCGUAGGCGGUUUCGUAAGUCGUGUGUGAAAGGCGCGGGCUCAACCCGCGGACGGCACAUGAGACUGGGUGACUUGAGUGAUGGAGGGGGAACCGGAAUGCUUGGUGUAGCAGUGAAAUGCGUAGAUAUCGAGAAGAACACUCGUGGCGAAGGCGGGUUCCUGGACAUUAACUGACGCUGAGGCACGAAGGCCAGGGGAGCGAAAGGGAUUAGAUACCCGUGUAGUC
rnacentral:rRNA from 1 species